CCUGCAAGAGAGCGCCAGGUUAGACUCUGCAGCAGCUUCUGCAUGCCUCCUGAGCACCAGGAGGCAGAGCCUCGAUCCCGCCCCCAACUCCCUGCAGCUCCAGGCCAGGAGCUGUUUCAGGUCCUGAGGACUCUACUUCCGAGUUUCAUGAUUCCAACUCAGAUGGCAGAGUGCUGGGCUGUGCCCGCAGGCAGAUUCUUUUACCACUGAACCACCUGGGAAGGAAGAAAGUAACACAUCCUCUGCCCGAGGCAUCAUCCUCUGCCCGAGGCGUGCCAUUCUAGGAGAGCUGGAGCAUUCGUGCUGAAUAUGGACUCAACCAGGCAAGCCUCAGUAGAAAGCUGAGGAUCCUCUUAGGAGAUUGUUGACCUUCAUCCUAAAGAGUAUCCUUUGAAAUAUGACUCACGAGUGAAAGAUGUGAUACUAUACAUAUUUAUAUAUAUAUUCUAUUUAUAUAAAUUGUGACACUAUAGAAAGUCAUGCAAAUGGAAGGAGAUCAUACAUGUUAAACAUACCAUACUUAAUUUAAAAAAAAAAAGAGAAAAUCAUGCAAUAAUAAUAUUCUCAAAGACUAAACAAUAGGAGGACUUCCCUGGUGGUCCAGGGGUUAAGAAUUCACCUGCCAGUGCAGGGGACACGGGUUCAGCCGUGGUCUGGAAAGACUCCACAUGCAGGACAGUUGAGCCUGUUUGCUACUAAGCCUGCUCCCUAGAGCUCAGGCUCUGCAACAAGAGAAGCCAGCGCAGUGAGAAGCCUUCACACAGCAACUAGAGAGGAGCCCCUGCUCACCGCAGCCCAUGGGCAACAGAGCAGAUCAGGCACGGCCAAAACUGUUUACAGAUAAAAUAGAUAAACAGUGGGAAAAGCCCACAACAAAACACUAAGCAAAACACCACACAGGAAAUGUACAUGAUGUAUUAUCCCAAUUUUGUUUCUAUUACGUACAUAUGUAUCUAUACACAUACACACAGCUAUUGAAAUAACACUGGGAGGAAGCUGCCCCAGGGUGUUUCUGCAUCUCUUCCAUUUAUCUAACGGAUGUCCAGUUUUUGUUAGUGGAAAGGAGAUGAUGCUUUUAAGUUGAAUAGCAGAGCCAAAAUUGACACUGAAGGUAGUCAAUUGACAGUGUGAAUAAUGGAGAUAGUGAUAUAAAGAAAACCACGAGAAAUUCCCCUAAAAUACAGAGGCUGCUGCUGCUGCUAAGUCACUUCAGUUGUGUCUGACUCUGUGAGACCCCAUAGACGGCAGCCCACCAGGCUCCCCCAUCCUGGGGAUUCUCCAGGCAAGAACACUGGAGUGGGUUGCC